AUCCACCUGAGUUCCUUUUUCUGUGUGAUGUGAGACACUAACAGAUCGAUAUUAUGUGUUUGAUGACGUUACUGGGGUUUAAGGCGUACGUAAUCUGGCCAUGGAAACUGAUGCAGCUGAGGAUUGAGUCUUGACACAUUGAACUCCAGAAGUUCCUCUUUUUGCACUUUCAUUGCAACAGCGAGUCACAGAUGGAGUUUUUGUUCUUAGGAACAGAAAUUUCGGUCAUAAGGAGCUUCGUGUGUGUGAGUCUGAAUCCCUUCUGCUCAGAACACGUGAUGAACUCUCCUGUAACGCCUGCUUCGUGCCUCUCAGCUUGAUGACAGCGAUGGUGCCAG